rnacentral:rRNA from 1 species
AUUGAACGCUGGCGGCAUGCUUUACACAUGCAAGUCGAACGGUAGAGGGGCAACCCUUGAGAGUGGCGAACGGGUGAGUAAUGCAUCGGAACGUGCCCAGUAGUGGGGGAUAGCCCGGCGAAAGCCGGAUUAAUACCGCAUGAGACCUGAGGGUGAUAGCGGGGGAUCGCAAGACCUCGCGCUAUUGGAGCGGCCGAUGUCAGAUUAGCUAGUUGGUGGGGUAAAGGCCUACCAAGGCGACGAUCUGUAGCUGGUCUGAGAGGACGACCAGCCACACUGGGACUGAGACACGGCCCAGACUCCUACGGGAGGCAGCAGUGGGGAAUUUUGGACAAUGGGCGCAAGCCUGAUCCAGCCAUGCCGCGUGCGGGAAGAAGGCCUUCGGGUUGUAAACCGCUUUUGUCAGGGAAGAAAUCUUCUGGGCUAAUACCCUGGGAGGAUGACGGUACCUGAAGAAUAAGCACCGGCUAACUACGUGCCAGCCGCCGCGGUAAAAC